AUGUGACGAAUGCGAUUGUUAAAUUCAUUAUUUAUGUUCCCUUAGAAAUUUAUUUUGAUUGCUGUUUGUCGUUGCUUUUAGUUUAAUUGUUGUUGUGGCUCGAGUCGUGUUAAUUGCACAACAUUUUUCAGCUGGCGACGGUCAAAAAUAUUUUUAUUAAUUGAAAUGAAGCUCAUGCCUGGGCUUUGGCAUUGGACUUGAGCUUGACAUUGAAGGCAGUGGCUCUCGCAAGACGAAGAGGCCCCAGUUUACACGAGGCCAUAAACUGGUUUUCCUACAUAAUCAACCAGGAAUUGAAAGCCCUUCAGGCCAGCUUUUUAUUUUCCACUUAAUUGUUGCACAAAUUGGCACAGACGCCCGGAGCUGCAGCCGAUGAUUCUCUUUUUACUACUAUAAUUGCCCCCCUAAUUGCAAAACGAUAGCGUUGCCCUCCCAUCGAGAUACAGAGCAGGGGCGUGUAAAUGAGGCCCCUUUAAACUAAUUAGCUUAAAUCGAUGCCAACCAGCGAUCUUCCACACAACAACUAGAAGCGCUAAAACAAUGGGGCAGUGAGAAAUGGAACGUGCCUAAGUGGACGAGCGAGUAGAGAUCAUCAAGAGCUUGGUUAAAAUUGUGAAAUAGGUUUAAAAACCAUACAUUUUAUUAAAAUGUUAAGUCUUUCAG